rnacentral:rRNA from 1 species
UACAGAGGUCUCAAGCGUUGUUCGGAUUCAUUGGGCGUAAAGGGUGCGUAGGCGGCGCGGUAAGUCGGGUGUGAAAAUCUCGGGGCUUAACUCCGAAACUGCAUUCGAUACUGCGGUGCUUGAGGACUGGAGAGGAGACUGGAAUUCAUGGUGUAGCAGUGAAAUGCGUAGAGAUCAUGAGGAAGACCAGUGGCGAAGGCGGGUCUCUGGACAGUUCCUGACACUGAGACACGAAGGCCAGGGGGAGCAAAACGGG